ensembl:lncRNA
GGCGCACCGGAGGUAUCCAGCCGCGACCGGGACCCAGGUUUGAGCAGAGCUCUUCGACAGUAUCACCCACCCCGCAUCCCUGAGGCAGGCACCCAUGAACCUGGGCGGCUCCAUUCUUUCUUCUCGCCCACCCCGCUGCCUGGCAUCUAAAGACGAGUGGGCCCCUCCCCAGCCGUGAGCUGGGUGGGGCUCAGGCUGCGGACCCUACUGGGGCCUGGGGAGCGGCCCAACCCGGGUCCUGGAGAGCGGUUGACAUUCUCGAGGAAGUGGCCCUGGAAGAUUAGGGGCGCUGGGCAUCAGAGGAGCGCCUGGUCACUGAGUGCCACUGGGUGGCUCGGGUCGCUGGCCAGCGCUGACCAAGUUUGGGAAGCCUAAGAUGGCAAAUCCCCAACGUCCAAAACUUUGUUGGGGUCCGCUGAGCCUAUGUCCCGGUGUCUUCCUGAAUCCCCUCUACCAUAACUACAUUCUGCCUUCCAGGCUUCAGGAGUAGGCAAAUACAGACGCGGAAUGAAAAUGCUCACUUUGCAAGUGAACGGUGGACACACGUACCCACUGGGACCCGGAGAGGUGGUCCUGGGUGUUAAAACAUCUGAAGAGAGAGAUGGGGAAUCUGGAAAGAAACCGGCUGUGGGAGCGAGGGGAAGGGUUGGGGAAAGAAGGAGGGGUGCAGCCUGAGGAAAGGCGAGUAAAGCAGCUGGCAAGGGCGGGAGGAAGAGGCUGCGCUCAGACCGAGUGGGGGAGAGGCUGGCAGGAGCGAGGAGAGCUGCAGGCGAGAGGGGGAGGCUGCUGGAAGGAAGCACCGGCGAACGCGGGCAGGGGAACUUCAGAGGAGGCUGCCAAAAAGGACUGGAGCUGCAGCAGUGCGAGGCAGUGGACAAGGGGGGCAGCAACCACCAGCCCUUGGCAGCCAGCAGAGGGGAAGAGGAGCCCACGGGAAAGAAAAGCAGGCGAGGUUAAGAAUAAAGAGUGUUCCAGGUAUGACAGCUACCUCGGUGAGGUGGAAGAGAGAAUUGACAAGGCAGAUUUCAUGGGUGAGUUGGAAAAGCAAGAAGCAGGACUACAAGAGGUCAUAUGUGACCUUCUAUCUGUGCUUGUCUAA